rnacentral:rRNA from 1 species
GCCGCGUGAGUGAUGAAGGUUUUCGGAUCGUAAAACUCUGUUGUUAAAGAAGAACAAGUGUUAGAGUAACUGUUAACACUUUGACGGUAUUUAACCAGAAAGCCACGGCUAACUACGUGCCAGCAGCCGCGGUAAUACGUAGGUGGCAAGCGUUGUCCGGAUUUAUUGGGCGUAAAGCGAGCGCAGGCGGUUUUGUAAGUCUGCUGUGAAAGCCCUCAGCUCAACUGAGGAAGUGCAGUGGAAACUACAAAACUUGAGUACAGAAGAGGAAAGUGGAACUCCAUGUGUAGCG